CACGAACGCUGGCGGCAGGCUUAACACAUGCAAGUCGAGCGCCCCGCAAGGGGAGCGGCAGACGGGUGAGUAACGCGUGGGAGUCUACCCAUCUCUACGGAAUAACGCAUGGAAACGUGUGCUAAUACCGUAUACGUCCUUCGGGAGAAAGAUUUAUCGGAGAUGGAUGAGCCCGCGUUGGAUUAGCUAGUUGGUGGGGUAAAGGCCUACCAAGGCGACGAUCCAUAGCUGGUCUGAGAGGAUGAUUAGCCACACUGGGACUGAGACACGGCCCAGACUCCUACGGGAGGCAGCAGUGGGGAAUAUUGGACAAUGGGCGCAAGCCUGAUCCAGCCAUGCCGCGUGAGUGAUGAAGGCCCUAGGGUUGUAAAGCUCUUUCGCCGGUGAAGAUAAUGACGGUAACCGGAGAAGAAGCCCCGGCUAACUUCGUGCCAGCCGCCGCAGUAAAAC
rnacentral:rRNA from 1 species